CUUGUCGGUGCAAGAGUGGUCAUAAAAUGGGAAAGAAAUGCGGCCAAAUCUGAACAUUUGAGAGAGAGCCAGAGUCUAACUCGGACAAAACUGGUAGGCCUGAACUCCGCGCAAUUGCCAGAUUCAACAAUGAUUUUUUUGUUGUAGACACUGCAUCACCGCACUCCCUCUCUUGGUCUUCAUUUUUGAAUUCCGAAGUUUCUUUCGUCUGGACCGAAGCCAGUUCGAUCACCUGAUCCAGAUGGUUGGAGCCAGGAUCGCCCGGAUGGAUACCAACUACCGGGAGUCCAUCAGCCCAGUUGAACAUUCUUGGCGACAGUGGACUCCUACAGGACCAUAGGAUUCAGCUUCCGAGUUGGACGGUCCACGGUGGCAGGCAUUGUCCCCUCUGUGGCACAAGCCAUUUGGGACUGUCUGGUUGGUGAAUACAUGCCUGUCCCCAAGGAGGAAGACUGGAGGACCAUCGCUGCCGAGAUCCUGGAGAGGUAGAAUUUCCCCAACUGUCUUGGCUCCAUUGACGGGAAACAUGUAGUAAUCCAGGCUCCACCGUGCUCAGGUUCGCAAUUCUACAACUACAAGGGUACAUAUUCAGUUGUACUCUUGGCUGUAGUAGAUGCCAUCUACUGUUUCCGUGUUGUUGGUGCUUACAGCAAGGGAAGUGAUGGCGGGACCCUCCGGGACUCUGCCUUCAGCCAGGCACUUCAGGAUGGCACCCUGGAGAUUCCACCACCUGCAUCACUCCCUGGGGCUGAAGACCCUGGACCUGUUCCCCACGUCUUCAUCGGCGACGAGGCAUUUCCUUUAAGACCCAACCUCAUGAGGCCCUACACUGGACGCCAACUGCUAUUGCCAAAGCCUGUAAGAAUCUUUAACAAACGACUGUCCAGGGCAAGGUUAGUUGUUGAAUGCGCCUUUGGGAUUCUGUCAGCCCGGUGGAAAAUGCUUGGUCUCAGCCCCUCAAAUGUCGAUGCCUGCUUGAAGGCCACGUGUGUUUUCAAAAACUACCUGCGGAGGUCAUUCCAGGAGCCGCUCCGGAUGGAGAUGGGUACGCCAAAUGGUCACCAGGGCAGGUGCCAACUACGCCCCCAGACAGGCACCCCAGGUGAGGGAGAAGCUGACCACCUACUUCUCAUCGCCAGCAGGUGAAGUCCCAUGGCAGUAUGCCGUGGAGUGAAACAGAUCUUUUAAGUGCCCCAUAAAAAGGUUAUUUUAAGAACCAUCCACCAUUGCCUAUAAAAUUGCAUUUCUUCCCCAUCAUUGUUUCUCUUUGUUUGGAAGCUAUAUUUAAGUGACAUUUGGGAGUAAAGACUAGACCUUAACCACUUCCCUCUCCCAUUAACAUCAGUAUUAUACACACCUGGCAUAGUACAUCAGGUGAGCAGGAGCACUAAUUAAAGUGAUACGACACAGUUAAUAUGAUGAAAGGGUAACCUAGGGUCCAUACAAAUAGUACAGUUUACCACCAUGUUCACUGGCAUAACAAAAUACAAGUGGAAAAAAAAACAAGUUGGGAAGGGAAUACAUGCCUGUCCCCAAGGAGGAAGACUGGAGGACCAAGCAAUGGUUUGUGUGUCCACUGUCGAGAGAUGCUGGAUAGAAAAUGAGCAUACUUAGGAGGUACAGUACCAGUAUUAGAGGUACAGUACCAGUUUUUACUUUCAUCUUGUCUUAGAUCUGCAAAGGUGUAGGGAAGAAAUAAGCAGAUUUAAGUCUAAAUGAGAUAUUAAUAAACAACUGAAACAACCGACUAUGAAAACAUAAGUAUUCAAGUACAGGAAAGAACAUGUAGGGAAGAAAUAAGCAGAUUUAAGUCUAAAUGAGAUAUUAAUAAACAACUGAAACAACCGACUAUGAAAACAUAAGUAUUCAAGUACAGGAAAGAACAUGAUAGGUAUGUGUGUUGUAAAAAUGUUUAAAAAAAAUAAAACUAUAGAGUGUGCAUGUAAAAAAUGAAUGUGUAGCCUGUAUUCUGUAAGAGAACAACAAGAGCAUGUAUUUUUGGCACAACUGCAGACAGAUACAGGGACUACUCAUAAAGCCUAGACUUAGUAGGGGAACUUCAGACAUGGCCAUAAAGAGAGG